rnacentral:rRNA from 1 species
UACGUAGGGACCGAGCGUUGUCCGGAAUCAUUGGGCGUAAAGAGCGUGUAGGCGGCUUGGCAAGUCCGCUGUGAAAACUCGAGGCUCAACCUCGAGACGUCGGUGGAAACUGCCUCGCUAGAGUCCGGAAGAGGAGAGUGGAAUUCCUGGUGUAGCGGUGAAAUGCGCAGAUAUCAGGAAGAACACCCGUGGCUAAGGCGGCUCUCUAGUACGGUACUGACGCUGAGACGCGAAAGCGUGGGGAGCGAACAGG